rnacentral:rRNA from 1 species
AACGUAGGGGGCCAGCGUUGCUCGGAAUUACUGGGCGUAAAGGGUCCGUAGGCGGUGCGGCAAGUCGGAGGUGAAAUCUCUGGGCUUAACUCAGGGGCUGCCUUUGAUACUGGCGAUCUUGAGUCCGGGAGAGGUGAGUGGAACUGCGAGUGUAGAGGUGAAAUUCGUAGAUAUUCGCAAGAACACCAGUGGCGAAGGCGGCUCACUGGCCCGGUACUGACGCUGAGGUGCGAAAGCGUGGGUAGCAAACAGG